GACGAACGCUGGCGGCGUGCCUAAUACAUGCAAGUCGAACGCUGAAGAGCGGCGCUUGCUCUUCUUGGGUGAGUUGAGAACGGGUGAGUCACGCGUAGGUACCCUGCCUGGUAGCGGGGGAUCAUUAUUGGAAACGAUAGCUAAUACCGCAUAAACUGGAUUUUCACAUGAUAAUCUGUUGAAAGGUGCCAAUGCAUCACUAACAGAUGGACCUGCGUUGUAUUGGUUAGGUGGUGGGGUACCGGCUCACUAAGGCGAGGUUGCAGAGCCGACCUGAGUGGGUGAUCAGCCACACUGAGAGUGUGACACGGCCCAGACUCCUACGGGAGGCAGCAGUAGUGAUUCUGCGGCAAUGGGCGGAAGUUUGACCGAGCAACGCGGCGUGAUGGAAGAAGGUUGUCGGAUCGUAGAUCACGGUCGUAAGGGAAUAACGAGUGUGAGAGUGUAAAGUUCACACUGUGACGGUAACGUACCAGAAAGGGACGGCUAACUACGUG
rnacentral:rRNA from 1 species